UACGUAGGUGGCGAGCGUUGUCCGGAUUUACUGGGCGUAAAGGGAGCGUAGGCGGACUUUUAAGUGAGAUGUGAAAUACCCGGGCUCAACUUGGGUGCUGCAUUUCAAACUGGAAGUCUAGAGUGCAGGAGAGGAGAAUGGAAUUCCUAGUGUAGCGGUGAAAUGCGUAGAGAUUAGGAAGAACACCAGUGGCGAAGGCGAUUCUCUGGACUGUAACUGACGCUGAGGCACGAAAGCGUGGGGAGCAAACAGGAUUAGAUACCCCCGUAGU
rnacentral:rRNA from 1 species